rnacentral:tRNA from 1 species
GCGCCUGUCGUAUAAUGGUUAUUAUUCUCGCCUUCCAAGCGAGAGAUCCGGGUUCAAUUCCCGGCGGGCGCA